rnacentral:rRNA from 1 species
AUGCAUGUCUAAGUAUAAGCAACUAUACGGUGAAACUGCGAAUGGCUCAUUAAAUCAGUUAUCGUUUAUUUGAUAGUACCUUACUACAUGGAUAACCGUGGUAAUUCUAGAGCUAAUACAUGCUAAAAACCCCGACUUCGGAAGGGGUGUAUUUAUUAGAUAAAAAACCAAUGCCCUUCGGGGCUCCUUGGUGAAUCAUAAUAACUUAACGAAUCGCAUGGCCUUGCGCCGGCGAUGGUUCAUUCAAAUUUCUGCCCUAUCAACUUUCGAUGGUAGGAUAGUGGCCUACCAUGGUAUCAACGGGUAACGGGGAAUUAGGGUUCUAUUCCGGAGAGGGAGCCUGAGAAACGGCUACCACAUCCAAGGAAGGCAGCAGGCGCGCAAAUUACCCAAUCCCGACACGGGGAGGUAGUGACAAUAAAUACUGAUACAGGGCUCUUUUGGGUCUUGUAAUUGGAAUGAGUACAAUUUAAAUCCCUUAACGAGGAACAAUUGGAGGGCAAGUCUGGUGCCAGCAGCCGCGGUAAUUCCAGCUCCAAUAGCGUAUAUUAAAGUUGUUGCAGUUAAAAAGCUCGUAGUUGAACCUUGGGCCUGGCUGGCCGGUCCGCCUCACCGCGUGUACUGGUCCGGCCGGGCCUUUCCUUCUGGGGAGCCGCAUGCCCUUCACUGGGCGUGCCGGGGAACCAGGACUUUUACUUUGAAAAAAUUAGAGUGUUCAAAGCAGGCCUUUGCUCGAAUACAUUAGCAUGGAAUAAUAGAAUAGGACGUGCGGUUCUAUUUUGUUGGUUUCUAGGACCGCCGUAAUGAUUAAUAGGGAUAGUCGGGGGCAUCAGUAUUCAAUUGUCAGAGGUGAAAUUCUUGGAUUUAUUGAAGACUAACUACUGCGAAAGCAUUUGCCAAGGAUGUUUUCAUUAAUCAGUGAACGAAAGUUAGGGGAUCGAAGACGAUCAGAUACCGUCGUAGUCUUAACCAUAAACUAUGCCGACUAGGGAUCGGUGGAUGUUACUAUUUUGACUCCAUCGGCACCUUACGAGAAAUCAAAGUUUUUGGGUUCUGGGGGGAGUAUGGUCGCAAGGC